rnacentral:rRNA from 1 species
ACUCCUACGGGAGGCAGCAGUGGGGAAUCUUGGACAAUGGGCGCAAGCCUGAUCCAGCCAUGCCGCGUGAGUGAUGAAGGCCCUAGGGUCGUAAAGCUCUUUCGCCAGGGAUGAUAAUGACAGUACCUGGUAAAGAAACCCCGGCUAACUCCGUGCCAGCAGCCGCGGUAAUACGGAGGGGGUUAGCGUUGUUCGGAAUUACUGGGGCGUAAAGCGCGCGUAGGCGGACUGGAAAGUUGGGGGUGAAAUCCCGGGGGCUCAACCUCGGAACUGCCUCCAAAACUCCCAGUCUUGAGUUCGAGAGAGGUGAGUGGAAUUCCGAGUGUAGAGGUGAAAUUCGUAGAUAUUCGGAGGAACACCAGUGGCGAAGGCGGCUCACUGGCUCGAUACUGACGCUGAGGUGCGAAAGUGUGGGGAGCAAACAGGAUUAGAUACCCUGGUAGGAUAGCC